rnacentral:rRNA from 1 species
AGUGGCGGACGGGUGAGUAACGCGUGAGAAUCUGCCUUGGGGUCGGGGACAACCACUGGAAACGGUGGCUAAUACCGGAUAAGCCGAUUGGUGAAAGAUUUAUUGCCCGAAGAGGAGCUCGCGUCUGAUUAGCUAGUUGGUGAGGUAAGAGCUCACCAAGGCAGCGAUCAGUAGCUGGUCUGAGAGGACGAUCAGCCACACUGGGACUGAGACACGGCCCAGACUCCUACGGGAGGCAGCAGUGGGGAAUUUUCCGCAAUGGGCGAAAGCCUGACGGAGCAAGACCGCGUGAGGGAGGAAGGCUCUUGGGUUGUAAACCUCUUUUCUCAGGGAAGAAGCUCUGACGGUACCUGAGGAAUCAGCCUCGGCUAACUCCGUGCCAGCAGCCGCGGUAAUACGGAGGAGGCAAGCGUUAUCCGGAAUUAUUGGGCGUAAAGCGUCCGCAGGUGGCGAUUCAAGUCUGCUGUCAAAGCACGGGGCUUAACUCCGUAAAGGCAGUGGAAACUGAAUAGCUAGAGUGCCGUAGGGGUAGAGGGAAUUCCCGGUGUAGCGGUGAAAUGCGUAGAGAUCGGGAAGAACAUCGGUGGCGAAAGCGCUCUACUGGACGGCACCUGACACUCAGGGACGAAAGCUAGGGGAGCGAAUGGGAUUAGAUACCCC